rnacentral:rRNA from 1 species
GGGUAGGGGAGCGUUCUGUAAGCCUGCGAAGGUGUGCUGUGAGGCAUGCUGGAGGUAUCAGAAGUGCGAAUGCUGACAUAAGUAACGAUAAAGCGGGUGAAAAGCCCGCUCGCCGGAAGACCAAGGGUUCCUGUCCAACGUUAAUCGGGGCAGGGUGAGUCGACCCCUAAGGCGAGGCCGAAAGGCGUAGUCGAUGGGAAACAGGUUAAUAUUCCUGUACUUGGUGUUACUGCGAAGGGGGGACGGAGAAGGCUAUGUUGGCCGGGCGACGGUUGUCCCGGUUUAAGCGUGUAGGCUGGUUUUCCAGGCAAAUCCGGAAAAUCAAGGCUGAGGCGUGAUGACGAGGCACUGCGGUGCUGAAGCAACAAAUGCCCUGCUUCCAGGAAAAGCCUCUAAGCAUCAGGUAACAUCAAAUCGUACCCCAAACCGACACAGGUGGUCAGGUAGAGAAUACCAAGGCGCUUGAGAGAACUCGGGUGAAGGAACUAGGCAAAAUGGUGCCGUAACUUCGGGAGAAGGCACGCUGAUAUGUAGGUGAAGUCCCUCGCGGAUGGAGCUGAAAUCAGUCGAAGAUACCAGCUGGCUGCAACUGUUUAUUAAAAACACAGCACUGUGCAAACACGAAAGUGGACGUAUACGGUGUGACGCCUGCCCGGUGCCGGAAGGUUAAUUGAUGGGGUUAGCGCAAGCGAAGCUCUUGAUCGAAGCCCCGGUAAACGGCGGCCGUAACUAUAACGGUCCUAAGGUAGCGAAAUUCCUUGUCGGGUAAGUUCCGACCUGCACGAAUGGCGUAAUGAUGGCCAGGCUGUCUCCACCCGAGACUCAGUGAAAUUGAACUCGCUGUGAAGAUGCAGUGUACCCGCGGCAAGACGGAAAGACCCCGUGAACCUUUACUAUAGCUUGACACUGAACAUUGAGCCUUGAUGUGUAGGAUAGGUGGGAGGCUUUGAAGUGUGGACGCCAGUCUGCAUGGAGCCGACCUUGAAAUACCACCCUUUAAUGUUUGAUGUUCUAACGUUGACCCGUAAUCCGGGUUGCGGACAGUGUCUGGUGGGUAGUUUGACUGGGGCGGUCUCCUCCUAAAGAGUAACGGAGGAGCACGAAGGUUGGCUAAUCCUGGUCGGACAUCAGGAGGUUAGUGCAAUGGCAUAAGCCAGCUUGACUGCGAGCGUGACGGCGCGAGCAGGUGCGAAAGCAGGUCAUAGUGAUCCGGUGGUUCUGAAUGGAAGGGCCAUCGCUCAACGGAUAAAAGGUACUCCGGGGAUAACAGGCUGAUACCGCCCAAGAGUUCAUAUCGACGGCGGUGUUUGGCACCUCGAUGUCGGCUCAUCACAUCCUGGGGCUGAAGUAGGUCCCAAGGGUAUGGCUGUUCGCCAUUUAAAGUGGUACGCGAGCUGGGUUUAGAACGUCGUGAGACAGUUCGGUCCCUAUCUGCCGUGGGCGCUGGAGAACUGAGGGGGGCUGCUCCUAGUACGAGAGGACCGGAGUGGACGCAUCACUGGUGUUCGGGUUGUCAUGCCAAUGGCACUGCCCGGUAGCUAAAUGCGGAAGAGAUAAGUGCUGAAAGCAUCUAAGCACGAAACUUGCCCCGAGAUGAGUUCUCCCUGACUCCUUGAGAGUCCUGAAGGAACGUUGAAGACGACGACGUUGAUAGGCCGGGUGUGUAAGCGCAGCGAUGCGUUGAGCUAACCGGUACUAAUGAACCGUGAGGCUUAACCUUACAACGCCGAAGCUGUU